rnacentral:rRNA from 1 species
UCUACGGGAGGCAGCAGUGGGGAAUAUUGCACAAUGGGGGAAACCCUGAUGCAGCGACGCCGCGUGAGUGAAGAAGUAUUUCGGUAUGUCAAGCUCUAUCAGCAGGGAAGAAAAUGACGGUACGUGUCUAAGAAGCCCCGGCCAACUCCGUGCCAGCAGCCGCGGUACUACGUAGGGGGCCAGGGUUAUCCGGAUUUACUGGGUGUAAAGGGGGCGUAGAGGGCCAGAAAAGUCAGAAGUGAAAGCCUAGGGCUCAACGCUGGGAUUGCUGUUGAAACUGCCGGGCUGGAGUGUAGGAGAGGUAAGCGGAAUUCCUAGUGUAGCGGUGAAAUGCGUAGAUAUUAGGAGGAACACCAGUGGCGAAGGCGGCUUACGGGACUGUAACUGACGUUGAGGCACGAAAGCGUGGGGAGCAAACAGGAUUAGAUACCCGAGUAGUC